AAAAAAUUGAUCUUGAGAGCUUUGAGGAUGAGAGGAAGACGAGGCUCGGGACUCUCAAGAAAAAGGCAAUCAAUGCCUCUACCAAGUUUAGGCAUUCUUUGACCAAAAGGGGCAGGAGAAACAGCAGAGUCAUGUCUGUGGUUGUUGUCGACGAGCACGAUGCUGAGGAAUUUCAAGCAGUGGAUGCAUUACGGCAAGCACUUAUACUGGAAGAGUUGCUCCCUUCAAAACACGAUGAUUAUCACAUGAUGCUAAGGUUCACUCCUUUCUUUGACCAUUGGCCUUAAUCCUAUUAAUUUUAUUAAUCAAUGGCACGACCAAUUCUUGGUUUAGUUAUGCCUUAAAUCAUAAGACUAAUAUUGGAAUCAGAAUGAGCUAAGCAUAAACCAUUUACCUUUACUCAAGAAAUUAUUUCAGGUGACAAGUAGUAUAAUGGUUUAGAUUUUUGAAGGCCAGGAAAUUUGACAUUGAGAAAACAAAGUAAAUGUGAGCUGAUAUUAUUCGUUGGAGAAAGGACUUUGGUGUAGACACUAUCAUGGAGGUGUUAGUUUACCGAAAAAUUGAUAACUAUUGAAUGUAUCUGGUACGCUGAGCUAGUAACCCUCAUUUUGAAUUUGAACGGACCAUUAAUGAUAAGUUCCCAGCCUGCUCUAUUGCAAUUGAUUGCAGGCUUUGAAAAGUUUCAGUAAAGCAGCCAGGGAUCUUCUCCGAUGCAUUCAAAGUAUUGAUGGUAAUAAUUACCCUGAGGUAAUAAUUUCUUUCUAGUGCCACGAACUUCCUGGUCUUCUCUUGUACCAUCAACUCGUAAGGUAUUUACUUCUGGGGCACAAUUGUUGUAUCAAACUGCAGUCUUUGGAAGUUUCAGUCUGAAAUAGAUUAAUGUUCUGUGCAGUACUGAAUUUUCACUAUCCCAAUGCAAGAUGGUGGACAAGGCUGUCGAUAAGACUUGGCCAAAAUCUGUGCAAGAUGAUAAACUUGCAGUCAACUGUGGUUUAAAUACACUCCCUGGAUCGGAGGCUAUACCUCUGAUCAAAAAGGAAAGUUGAAUAGCUUAUUGAUCCUUUGCUUGCCGUUGUGUACGAUGCAGAACAGAUGAAUCGCAUGCUUGCAGUUGCUUCUACGUAGGAACUUGACGUCUUCUCUUGGAGACCCUUGAUUAUAUUCAAGUAGUUUUUACACUCUCAAUUAUAGUAUUUUGAUUGUUGUUGAAUUGUCGAAUUGUUGUCGAUUAGAUGGAUGUGUAUUACUUGAUAUUUAGAUUAGAUGGAAGUGUAGUACUUGAUCGAUAUUGGAUUUGAUGGAUGUGUAGUAGGUUAGAUUGGAAUUUGAUGGAUGUAGAGAGUACAAUUUGUUUAUAUAUUCAUUAAUAAGAUUUAGUUGUUGAUUU